CUGACACGGAAUACAGACUGAGAGAGCAGCUCAUGAAAAAAAACACACCCGAUGUCACGCUGACUAGUGUUUGAUCUAGUCAGGUUUAAUUCUGUCCUUCCUAGGGGAAAAAAAACCCAUUGUCGUUUUGAAAUUUAGCACAGUUUUAAGGUGCAUCAAGUUAGCUUUAGAUGACGAGAAGUGGAUGAAAUGCCUCCUGGGCCAUGGGCGUCUCUCUGUUGGAUUUUACUCUCUGUCUGCCUCCUGUUUGCCUCUACAGGUGAGACUGAUCUUGCUUUAAGUUCAACAGGAUUCACAACACAACCCUAGGAGCAUCAGUUUUCUGUCUGAUGCUUCCUGCUACUCCUGUUUCAUUCAUACUGUUUUAUUUAAAUCAUUUUCUAACUCCGUGACUCUGUAGAGAUUGAGGCUACGUCCACACGUACCCGGGUAUUUUUGAAAACGCAGAUAUUUCUAUGCGUUUGCACCUUUCCUCCUCUGUGAGAUGUUCUCAAUCAUUGCCAGGUCUUUAUCACUUGAGUUCUGUCUUGCUGGGGUCGCAGACUUCUGCAAAAAGUCUCAUCGAGCUCUGGGUUGGUUUAGGUGGAUUUGGAGGUAUACUGCAACUGAUGCUGUAGAUGCAGUGGCAGCAACAGUUGCAGUAGACACACUGGCACCUUCAUUAAUAUCACACUCAACUGACUGUUUUAUAUUCCUAUUGCACUGAUGGGUGGACAGUUCUCAGGUGCCUGUGCAGGUUGUUUGUGGAGCCGGCUCUGUAUGAUAUCUUUUUCUUACAGACUUUACACUCUGUCUUUGUUUUCAGUAAAAUUGAAAUUGCUCCAGAUUUUGCUUCUUUUCUUGGUGUCACUCAUUUUUAUUACCAUGCCUUUCUAAUGUGUUGAUGUUGUGUCUUGUUGCCCCUGGCUCUCUUUCUCUCUUUCACACUCUGUUCCUAUGCUACUGCGAGUGUAACCACCACCCCUCCCCCCUCUGCUCAGCGCAAACACAAGGCUCAAGUGCGGUGUGAAGUGAAAAUAGUGAGACAGAGCGGGUGAGAGAAAGGGGAAAAGAAACACAGCUCGUUAUUCGUUACUUCGUGUGGUGGCUAUUGCGGAGCUUCCACAGAUUCAGUAACAUUAGCAAGUGGUGGAGGCCAGCAGGUGGAUGAGGGAAAUGGUGAGGCGGCCUGAGGCGGCCGCUGUCCAAGUGUCAGGUGAACUGAAUUCCAGGUAAGAAGUUAUGACCUGCAGUCUAUCUGGGUCAGUUCAGGUAUAGUUUAUUUUAGUUAUGCUGACUUUUUUGUAGCAUAACUAUGAAAAAGUCAGUACUAUUUGUUUUGUGGAAAUAUGGACUUUAUUUUUUUCCUUUCUAUUGGUAGGUGGCACAGUGCACUUGAGGCAAGUAAGCAAGCUAGAAGACUGGCACUCUUGCUGGAUAUCCAGUUACGGAAGCAACACAUUAACAAGAGAAUUCUGAGUAAAACCAAAGUUACCUUCCUGAGUAACUAGUUACUCUGAAAGUAAUGACUAACUUGAAGUAACUGAGUUACUUUUGAUAGAAGUAACUAGUAAUGUAACUAAGUUACUAAUUUAAAGUAACUUACCCAACACUGCUCACUUCAAAGAUACGGCUCUAAGAGCAUUUUCGUUCACAACUGACACAUCACUACAUGGGGCACACUCACCCUUGACCCACCUGCUUUCCAAGGUAGGUGAUGGUUGCAUGGUGCAUGUGGCACACAACCGACUGUAAGCAACAACAUGUUUUUUUUUUAAAACCAGGCCAAAAGAAGUUGCUCAGCACUCAGUAAUACUUUUUAUUUAUUCCGAGAUGCCAUGCCCAUAUCAUGUGCUAAGCUUAGCACCUGAUUACAAUGAUGGGAUUGUACCACCACCUGCAUGACGUUCAAUGUUCCACUAAUCUGAGGACCACCACCUCGUGAGCAGGCCAUCCUGCAGUAAAAAACGGGGAAUGGUUGCGCUUUGCCCAGAAGCGAAAGUGGCGGCAAAACAGGAACUCAAAGACUUGCCAUUUCUCUGAGUGCUUACCAAAGCUUCUUUACUCACAUCUCCAAUUCCAGCAUUAAUUUUACCACACUUCGUUCCAUUUUCAUACUGUCUCUCUCUUACAAAAGGCUUUUGCCCUGUAGCCACAAACGUAUCCGCGAUACUAAAAUCAGCAAAUUUGCACUCUUGCGCCCAUGUGACAGUUUGACAGCUUAGAGCUCCACAUUAUUGGUGGGAUAAGUUUAUCAGGAUGGCUUCAAAAUCUGCAACCACAAGUGUUUAGAUUUCCAUCGGAUCUCAAGAGGAACAAACGAAUAACUCAGACUUACAAAUGGACUGCAAGUCAGAAAACUAGGGAAUGUGACGACCUCCCUGACUAAGGCCCAUAAACGUCGUGUUCACAUCAUACACACACUUAUAUUUCUACUCUCCCUGGAUGUUUUCCACUCUGUGCUGCUAUUGUAAGUCUUCUUGGUCCUUGUGGGGUGAUCGUGGCUCAAGAGUUGGGAGUUCACCUUGUAAUCAGAGGGUUGCCGGUUCGAGCCUCGGCUUGGACAGUCUUGGUCGUUGUGUCCUUGGGCACUUCACCCGUUGCCUACUGGUGGUGGUCAGAGGGCCCGGUGGCACCAGUGUCUGGCAACUUCGCCUCUGUCAGUGCGCCCCAGGGUGGCUGUGGCUACAAUGUAGCUUGCCAGUAAAGUAAUAGUAGUAGUAGUAAAGCACUAUACAAAUACAGACUAUUUACCAGACCAUUUGUACUCAAUGCAUUUGGUUCAGACGUUAAUAAUAUUAACUCAUACAUCCAGGUAAAGCUAUUGAUAGUGAUGUGACGUUCUGUAUCGAGGCUUCGGAGCGUGUGUCGAGUAAUGGAGGGGGCGUUUCCGCGAUGCGCGUAUCGAGGCUUGCUUCAUUUAUGGGAGGAGCUGAAAAUGAUGACGUCCGAAGCCUCGCUGCCCGGCUGUACCACGUGACUGGUUCAUGAAGUGGUUCGAACUUUGCCGCGAGCUAUGACAGCGAUAUAAACCCCUCAGAUUUCAUUCAAAAUGUGGGUGUUUGAUGGAGAGUUGCGGUUAGUGAGAGUUUGGAGACCGUUUGGAGGUUUAUGAGAGUGAGGAGAGAAAGUCAGGAGAGAAUGGAGCCAGCUAAGAAGAGGAGGAUGUCCUCUCCUGUGUGGGAACAUUUUGAUCUUAUUCCUCCCAACAAGGUAUGUAAAUUUCUACAGAAGAUGUAUUUUCAUAAUACUGAUGGUGCAAUACAAUUUAUGUUAAGCUGUCUUUACUUUUGUACAAGGUGAAGUGUUUGCUAUGUGCCAGGGAGCUGGGAUAUAACAACAACACCUCAUCCAUGCUUACGCACUACAGAGCUUUGCAUGAGAAUAAGGGGAACACCGAUUGUGGAGCAAGACCAGGAGAACAAUCUCAAAUAGAUGAAGACCUGGUCAGCAUGGUGAUUGAGGACUCCCAGCCAUUUAGCAUUGUGGAGGACAAAGGAUUCAAAAGAUUUGUUAAAUCAUUAAAUCCUAGCUAUGUUCUCCCCACUAAAAAGGUCAUAAAAGCAGUGAAAAUUUAGUUUUUACAGAAUAAAAUGUGAACAGGCAGGACUGAGGCUCAAAGCCUCAGUGUGUAGCUGUCCAUACCUCAACGUUACAAAAGCACAACCACUGUCCACACCUCACCUCACAGUAAAUGAUCAUUUCCAUUUUAAGCAUUUCCAAAUAAUCAUUUUCCAUACUGCCAGUAUAAAUAUACACACUAUACUGCCAUCAAUACAAUAUAGAUGUUUUACACACUCCUUUUGUUGUUGAUAUUUACAGGCUGUGUGCAAAAUGCCACACUCUUCAAAUUCAUGCCAACUAAUAUUUUUACGUCCAGUAGGUGUCCUCCUAGAGCAAAUGAAGCUUCAAGAAGCUUUGCGCUGGGGUGAACCAAUUGGAUGAAAAGCUUCAGUGCUUCAUGAAGCUUCAUCUGCCCAUCACUAGCUAUUGAUCCAAGAUUGUUAGGUGUGGCUGUGUGCAGGCAGGAAUAGGACCCAAGGUGCAGACUCCGGAGACAGAACUUAAACCAAAACAGCUUUAAUGCUGAACGCAAACAUAACAUAACUGGAAAAACUCAAAAAAAACAAACUAACACCAGCAGAUUGACAAAACACACAGCAACGUAAACGGUAGAUCGCGACACAGACACCAAGAAACACAGGGCUUAAAUACACAGAGGGAGCAAUCAGGGAAUGGGUAACAGGAGGGAAACACAGCUGGGGCAAAUCAGGCCUAACGAGACAAGGGGAAGCAAAACCAGACACAUUAACAUCAGACAUGGACUUUCAAAGUAAAACAGGAAACAUAACACAGACUCACGGGCAGGCACUAUAACAAAGGGAACAGAGACGUGGGAACAGGGCAGACACAAACAUUGACUGAACACGGGGAUAUAGGAACUUAGGAUACACAUAGACGCGAACUAGACAAGGGGAUGCAGGUGAUAGGGGAGACAGAGCAACUAAAGAAGACAGAGACCUAAGCCAUAAGACAGAACUCAAAGAAACCAAAAACUAGAAAGUAUAAAUAAUAUCAUAAACUCAAAAACGCUGGGUCGACGACCCAGGCAUCCCAACAAAGAUUGAGUAAGGAAUAACACACACUAGAUCUGUCUUAUUUAGAAUAUGAAAAUAUGAAACGUAUUUCAAGUUUUUGACAAAUAUACGCAUCCAUUGAUCAGUGAAGUGUCCAUAUUUGCUAUUACUAACACACAGUUAUCCUAUAGAGUUUGAGUCAGUCCAAACUUAAAGUAAUUAUUUUUGUGGUCAAUUGCAAGAAAACUGUAACUUUUGUUAGAGCUACUUCCAUUAGCUUUAAUAGCUUUAAUAAAUGGGAUUUCCAUCCCGAAAUGCAUGCCAAAUAAUUUACAUUUCAAUUCAAAAAGAUGAAAUUAGGUUUCUUUAGUUCAGCACAUCUAUCUCUCUGUUUGCUCCUCACUGUGUACAAACACUUUUCUCCUUUUUCAGAUGGGAAAAUCAUCAAAGCUGAGCCUGGACAGAACGUCACUCUGCCAUGUCGAACUCCACAUAUCAGCGUUCCCAUCAGAGCUGUGGUGGAGUGGUUCAGACUUGACCUGCAGGAAGGACAUGUCCUUAUGUACCGGGAUGAGCAGUUUAUUUCAAUGAACCAGCUUCCAUCGUUUGUGAACCGGGUGGAUCUGCAGGACAGACAGAUGAAGGACGGAGACGUGUCUUUGAUUCUGAAGGACGUGACAAGUGACGACACUGGAACAUUUCAGUGUUACGUGGUCCAGAGAGGAACAAAUGGCAGGAAAAGCACUGUUGAUCAUAUCAGCACCGUCUACCUGAGAGUUGUAGGGAGCAGCGAUGGACAUCCAACAAUGAAAUGUAGACGUUUAACACAAAUACAAUUGAAUUUUUUAGCGUUUUUCUCUUCUUUACUUAGAAGUAUUGUUAAGGAGAUUUAAAAACAAAGUUAAUUUUCAUUGUCUUCUUCAUUAUUACGUUGCUGUUAAAAGGUAAUAAUGCCAAUGAAGUCCGUAUAGUGCAGCCAGUCCCUUAAACACUGCUGCAAUCCACUUUCACCAAAAUAAGUUUUCUCCUAAGUUUUUUUUUUUCUUUUAUCACUUUUGAUCUUUGAUUAUUUGCUUGCUGAGGUUAAUUCGUGAUUAACAGCUUUGAUUCUGCUGUUUGGAAACGUGUGCUCCAGUUUAGUUUAUUUCCAGCAGUAAUAAAUUUGUUAAAUGUUGGGUCUGUGUUUCCACAUGCCCCGCUAGUUUAGAGACUUAUUCCUCAUGACAAACACAAGACAUAGCAGAACAUCUUCAACCGGUUAUUAACUCGCUAACGAAGGAGAGCUUUGGUCUGAACCAGGCGGUGGAGCAUAAUGCUCAUCACUCUCUAGCCCAAAUCCUUCAAAGAGCAGCUGUCCUCGUAGCCUUUUUAUUGACAUGACAUUUACAGUACACAUGACAACACAACACAAGCACCUCCCAUCGUAAACCCCCCCCCCCCCCCCCCCCUUGGUCCUAAGACAAGGCAUUAUAUGUGUGUGUGUGACAAAUAACUUUGUUGUUUGCAAAACUUGUGCAUAGGAUUUUAAAAUUGACAAUUUAUACUUGUAUUUAAAGUUAUGAAAUAUGAUUCAUUAAACAUGUUUGUGGUUGUUACAGUAAAAAAUAUAACUUUUUUCUACUCUGAUUUUAUGUUUUUUUCUGAUUUUAGAUCUAUUGUGUUAAUACAAUAAAUGUACAAAUGAAAACAAGGCAAAGUAAAUAGUUUUUAAAGGUAAAAUGUGGAGGGACAAUCAAAAGUAGUUAAAAAUGGCCAAUUAUACCCUGGACCCCAGAGGGUUAAACAUUUUUUUCAAAGUAACUCAAUAGUUACUUUUCAAGUAAUUAAUUAAUUUUAGAAUAUUGUAACUCAGUUACUAACUCAGUUACUUUUUGAAGAAGUAACUAGUAACUAUAAUUAAUUACUUUUUCAAAGUAACUUGCCCAACACUGCCCACAUCUAAAAACUCUCUCUCUCUCUCUCUCCCUAACUUGCUCACUCUGUCUCCUGCCCUGCCUUCCCCUCUUCCUAAACAACCCUGGUGGUGACUUUUCUUUUUAAUUGGUGGACAUGAGACAUUUUUUGACAGAACGGGAAAGAGGUGACUUUUUUUCUUUCUUUUAGUGUUUUCGCGCUGUCCUUAGAAUACGCUUAAAAAACACACACACAAAAACAAAACAAAACGUGACAACAGUUUUUGGCAUGGCAUGGCAUGGCUUAUAUAAAUUAUAACAACUGUGGAUUUACUGGCUGGUAAUUAAAAUUUAAAA
ensembl:lncRNA